rnacentral:rRNA from 1 species
UACGUAGGGUGCGAGCGUUAAUCGGAAUUACUGGGCGUAAGCGUGCGCAGGCGGUUUUGUAAGCCAGAUGUGAAAUCCCCGGGCUUAACCUGGGGAAUGGACAUUUGGGGACUGCAAGGCUUGAGUGCGGCAGAGGAGACUGGAAUUCCUGGUGUAGCAGUGAAAUGCGUAGAUAUCAGGAGGAACACCGAUGGCGAAGGCAGGU